AAGGCACCUGAAGUUUCUCCUUCAAGGCCGGUAUGGGGUCCUAGAACCCGAGUUCCUCUGUGUAGUGUUUUGUUAGUCUUAUCUGUGGCGGGCAGAAAGACUAAAUUGACCUCCCCUUCGGCCCUCGCUUAGGAGAGGGCUGACUCUGGAUAUGGCUUUUCCUGAUUGGCUCCGCUGAUAGAGGCCGGAGCUCUGAUUGGAGGCUAAGUUUCCCUUCUCGCACCUCCUUUUCCACUACAGAUCCUGUGCCUUACUAGCGGAGGCCAGCGGGUGGAGCUAGACCUGGUUCCCCAGGGUUACCAUUAAUUGGGGGAAUGAGGCGGGGUGGAGAACAUACUCGAGUGGGCGGGGCCCUCUCCAAGUAGUAGAGGAAGCAGAUACCCAGAUAGGAAAUCUAGCAUAGCAACAAGUUAGAGAUGAUUGCUCAAGCCACGUGAGCUGUCACAGACUUGCAUCCUGGUAUCGUGUCUGUUGUCUCCGAAUCAGGUAUGCAUGUGGAGAGGGGUGUCAAAGAUUGAGGUCAGAUGCGAGGUCAAAAGUGUCCCCUGUUGAUCUUUUGAUCCAACUUGAAUUGCAGAAUUUCGCACUGGUUACCCAGCAGAGGAGGCGGCGCUCUCAGGAGCGCGCAGAUGCUCUGCUGAGAGAAUAGGCUCACAACAGCAUUGUAGACACAUUCCCGCUGCACUCUGGGUAAAUAAAGAUCGGGUGCCUGAGUCGACUCUAAUUUAGACGCCUGCGAACGCUGCGCACACGCACACGUGUCCGAGUCUCGCUGGCACUUGAUCCCCUCUUCCUUCGCCGCGUGCGCGGAGGAGGUCUUAGAGGCGUGGUUCCCAUACUCAGCCUGCUGGAGGUCAAAGCGGAACAUCAGUUAAGGAAGGCAUCCUCACAUUCUCCUCUUAGAACCACCUUUACUGCAUACUACCACUCCUCAAGCUAAUAGAAGCAACCCCACCAUCCACCCUUGCUCAGGGGGCGCUGGUGGGAGGGGCUGAGGAUGGGCGUGGCUUGGAGACCUAGCGUAUUAUCUCAGACUGUAUACCUAGGGUGGUGGGUGUUUGGGCAGGGCCUCUCAGCAUCCCUCCCCUUCUUCGCCAGAGAUGACGCGGGAGAGCGUGGUCGCCCCCAGAAGGCUUUAGACCAUCAGACCGACCUCUACGUAGACCCCUCCCCCAAGGGGGGACCGCUUUUGCCUGUCUAGCUCGCUUGCACUAAAGCCGGGAGCAGCCCAGUGCGCGCUCGCCUCCAGUCAGCUCGCCCCCGAUCACCGCCUCUGUCACCGCCCCCUCCUUGGAAACCAAGUUACCAACGUUUAAACCAAUCCCUGGGCGCAAUUCUGCCACCCCCACACUCCACCCGCUGCGCUGCGCGGUCCUCCCAGCCCAGCUCUCCAUCACUCGCGCUCCCCUCGCCUUCUGCGCUCUCCCCUCCCUGGCAGCGGCGGCAAUGCCGGGGCCUUCACCAGGGCUGCGCCGAACGCUCCUCGGCCUCUGGGCUGCCCUGGGCCUGGGGAUCCUAGGCAUCUCAGCGGUCGCGCUAGAACCUUUCUGGGCGGACCUUCAGCCCCGCGUGGCGCUCGUGGAGCGCGGGGGCUCGCUGUGGCUCAACUGCAGCACUAACUGUCCGAGGCCGGAGCGCGGUGGCCUGGAGACCUCGCUACGCCGAAACGGGACCCAGAGGGGUCUGCGCUGGCUGGCUCGACAGCUGGUGGACAUCCGAGAGCCUGAAACCCAGCCGGUCUGCUUCUUCCGCUGCGCGCGCCGCACACUCCAAGCGCGUGGGCUCAUCCGAACUUUCCAGCGACCGGAUCGGGUAGAGCUAGUGCCUCUGCCUCCUUGGCAGCCUGUAGGUGAGAACUUCACCUUGAGCUGCAGGGUCCCGGGGGCAGGACCCCGAGCGAGCCUCACAUUGACCUUGCUGCGAGGCGGCCAGGAGCUGAUUCGCCGAAGUUUCGUAGGCGAGCCACCCCGAGCUCGGGGUGCGAUGCUCACCGCCACGGUCCUGGCGCGCAGAGAGGAUCACAGGGCCAAUUUCUCAUGCCUCGCGGAGCUUGACCUGCGGCCACACGGCUUGGGACUGUUUGCAAACAGCUCAGCCCCCAGACAGCUCCGCACGUUUGCCAUGCCUCCACUUUCCCCGAGCCUUAUUGCCCCACGAUUCUUAGAAGUGGGCUCAGAAAGGCCGGUGACUUGCACUUUGGAUGGACUGUUUCCUGCCCCAGAAGCCGGGGUUUACCUCUCUCUGGGAGAUCAGAGGCUUCAUCCUAAUGUGACCCUCGACGGGGAGAGCCUUGUGGCCACUGCCACAGCUACAGCAAGUGAAGAACAGGAAGGCACCAAACAGCUGAUGUGCAUCGUGACCCUCGGGGGCGAAAGCAGGGAGACCCAGGAAAACCUGACUGUCUACAGCUUCCCGGCUCCUCUUCUGACUUUAAGUGAGCCAGAAGCCCCCGAGGGAAAGAUGGUGACCGUAAGCUGCUGGGCAGGGGCCCGAGCCCUUGUCACCUUGGAGGGAAUUCCAGCUGCGGUCCCUGGGCAGCCCGCUGAGCUCCAGUUAAAUGUCACAAAGAAUGACGACAAGCGGGGCUUCUUCUGCGACGCUGCCCUCGAUGUGGACGGGGAAACUCUGAGAAAGAACCAGAGCUCUGAGCUUCGUGUUCUGUACGCACCUCGGCUGGAUGACUUGGACUGUCCCAGGAGCUGGACGUGGCCAGAGGGUCCAGAGCAGACCCUCCACUGCGAGGCCCGUGGAAACCCUGAGCCCUCCGUGCACUGUGCAAGGCCUGACGGUGGGGCGGUGCUAGCGCUGGGCCUGUUGGGUCCAGUGACCCGUGCCCUCGCGGGCACUUACCGAUGUACAGCAAUCAAUGGGCAAGGCCAGGCGGUCAAGGAUGUGACCCUGACUGUGGAAUAUGCCCCAGCGCUGGACAGUGUAGGCUGCCCAGAACGUAUUACUUGGCUGGAGGGGACAGAGGCAUCGCUUAGCUGUGUGGCACACGGGGUCCCACCACCUAGCGUGAGCUGUGUGCGCUCUGGAAAGGAGGAAGUCAUGGAAGGGCCCCUGCGUGUGGCCCGGGAGCACGCUGGCACUUACCGAUGCGAAGCCAUCAACGCCAGGGGAUCAGCGGCCAAAAAUGUGGCUGUCACGGUGGAAUAUGGUCCCAGUUUUGAGGAGUUGGGCUGCCCCAGCAACUGGACUUGGGUAGAAGGAUCUGGAAAACUGUUUUCCUGUGAAGUUGAUGGGAAGCCGGAACCACGCGUGGAGUGCGUGGGCUCGGAGGGUGCAAGCGAAGGGGUAGUGUUGCCCCUGGUGUCCUCGAACUCUGGUUCCAGAAACUCUAUGACUCCUGGUAACCUGUCACCGGGUAUUUACCUCUGCAACGCCACCAACCGGCAUGGCUCCACAGUCAAAACAGUCGUCGUGAGCGCGGAAUCACCGCCACAGAUGGAUGAAUCCAGUUGCCCGAGUCACCAGACAUGGCUGGAAGGAGCCGAGGCUACUGCGCUGGCCUGCAGUGCCAGAGGCCGCCCCUCUCCACGCGUGCGCUGUUCCAGGGAAGGUGCAGCCAGGCUGGAGAGGCUACAGGUGUCCCGAGAGGAUGCGGGGACCUACCUGUGUGUGGCUACCAACGCGCAUGGCACGGAUUCACGGACCGUCACUGUGGGUGUGGAAUGUGAGUGAGGACAGCGCUGAAUGAAGACGACUCAGACCGCCAGAAAAGUGCCUUGAGGCCUGGGAUGUAUGAUCCAACCGGCCUGUGGUGGCUGAGCUGGCAGCCUCGCCCCCAAGCGUGCGGCCUGGCGGAAACUUCACUCUGACCUGCCGUGCAGAGGCCUGGCCUCCAGCCCAGAUCAGCUGGCGCGCGCCCCCGGGAGCUCUCAACCUCGG